CUCUCGGUACAACACAAACUCCUUAUCCUCCUCACCCUCAUUUUCUAUUUCUCUCUCCCUUUUCUCUCUCUGUCUCUGCCAACUACAAACAACUACACAGCACGACCUCGCUAUUCCAAUGGGGUCUCAGAUCUAGACGCUGCUCUGUUUCUGGUAUUCCUGUUCAUAUUGUUGCUAUUGUUGUUCAUCUCGCUUCCAGAACCACAGCGUUUUGGGUCAUAUUCCAUUCGACAUGCGGCCCAAACUAGCCUACUCCUUCCCUGAGGAGGUGCUGGAGCACGUGUUCUCCUUUAUCGAGUGCGAUAAGGACCGUGGCUCGAUCUCCCUCGUCUGCAAGUCCUGGUAUGAGAUCGAGCGUUGGUGCCGCCGGAGAGUCUUCGUCGGAAACUGCUACGCUGUCUCUCCGGCCACCGUUGUCAACCGCUUCCCCAAAGUGAGAUCCAUCACCAUCAAGGGCAAGCCGCACUUCGCGGACUUCAAUUUGGUCCCCGAGGGUUGGGGCGCUUACGUCGGCCCUUGGAUCAAGGCCAUGGCGGCUGCCUACCCCUGGCUCCAGGAGAUCAGGCUUAAGAGGAUGGUCGUCACCGACGAAUGCUUGGAACUUAUCGCCAAAUCGUUCAAGAACUUCGGAGUGCUGGUGCUCACUUCUUGCGAGGGUUUCACCACUGAUGGGCUUGCUGCCAUUGCCGCCCAUUGCAGGAAUUUGAGGGAGUUGGAGUUGCGGGAGAGUGAAGUGGAAGACAUUUGUGGACACUGGCUUAGCCAUUUUCCCGAUUCGUACACAUCCUUGGUUUCCCUUAAUAUUUCUUGCUUAGGCAAUGAGGUGAAUUUGUCUGCCCUAGAGCGUCUGGUUAGUAGGUGUCCCAAUCUGCAGACUCUCCGCCUCAACCGUGCUGUGCCCCUAGAUAAGCUGGCCAACCUUCUUCGCGGAGCUCCUCAGUUAGUUGAGUUAGGCACAGGAGCCUACACGAGUGAGAUGCGGCCGGAGGUCUUUUCAAACCUGGCUGAAGCAUUUGCUGGGUGCAGGCAAUUAAAAAGCUUGUCAGGAUUUUGGGACGUGCUACCCUCCUACCUUCCAGCUGUUUAUCCUAUCUGCUCCAACCUGACAUCACUAAACAUGAGUUAUGCAACUAUUCAAAGCCCUGAUCUUAUCAAGCUUGUUAGUCAGUGUGAAAAUUUACAACGGUUAUGGGUGUUGGAUUACAUUGAAGAUGCUGGCCUUGAAGUGAUUGCUGCAUCGUGUAAGGAUCUGAGGGAGUUGAGGGUGUUUCCGUCUGAUCCAUUUGGGUUAGAACCAAAUGUGGCAUUGACUGAGCAGGGCCUUGUUUCUGUGUCUGAAGGCUGCUCCAAGCUCCAGUCCGUUCUAUAUUUUUGUCGUCAAAUGUCUAAUGUGGCCUUGCUUACAAUUGCCAGGAACAGGCCUAAUAUGACUCGUUUUAGACUGUGUAUUAUUGAGCCGCAAGUUCCAGACUAUCUUACCCAAGAUCCUCUGGAUGCUGGUUUUGGAGCUAUUGUAGAGCAUUGCAAGGAUCUUCGUCGCCUUUCCCUUUCCGGGCUUCUCACUGACCGCGUUUUUGAGUAUAUUGGGACUUACGGUAAGAAGCUUGAGAUGCUUUCUGUGGCUUUUGCCGGAGAUAGCGAUUUGGGACUCCAUCAUGUGCUGUCUGGGUGUGACAACCUUAGGAAGCUGGAGAUCAGGGACUGCCCCUUUGGUGACAAAGCCCUUUUAGCCAAUGCUGCAAAGCUGGAGACAAUGCGAUCCCUUUGGAUGUCCUCUUGCUUGGUGAGUUAUGGAGCAUGUAAACUUCUGGGUCAGAAAAUGCCGAUGCUUAAUGUUGAAGUGAUUGAUGAAAGAGGACCUCCAGAUUCAAGGCCGGAUAGUAGUCCUGUUGAGAAGCUAUACAUAUACAGGACUGUUUCUGGGCCAAGAUUGGACAUGCCAGGCUAUGUAUGGAGAAUGGAAGGCGAUUCUGCAUUAAGAAUUUCUUGAGUGAUUUUGCUGUGGAACGAGCAUGGAAUUUAUUAUGACAGUUUGAUGUGAGAGUUGUUGAUGCAGAAUCGAUUGGUGCUGUGACAACAGAGUCUACGCAUGUGAAUGGAGAGAGAAAUGGCUCAACCAGUGGAAAGGUUUCUGCAUUUUAAAUUUGGUGUAGAUGAAAAAGGAGCAUUAUUCUGGUUGUGAUGGGCGAAGUACUUGUUGUUGAGCGGCGGUGCAGACCUGUCAUCAAAAUUGAAAACCUCGUAUCCCUUUCGGUCAUAAUCUCGUUGCUGACUGACUUACGGUGUUUGGACAUUUUUAUUUUUUAUUAGAAUUAUUUUGUAAUAACUUUAUUAUUAUAAAAUCCUUUUUUAAAAAUGAGCUGGGAAAAAAUAGAAAUAAAAAGAGUAAAGAAAAGUA